GCAGGGCCGGAGGGCGCGUCGCGGCUCCUCCGCGCUGCCGGCGUGAGUGUGACGAGGCCAACAGGACAACACGACGCCGCGACCGCCGCAUCGGCCUCACUCGACUCCAUCAUCUGCAUUCGACGCAGACGCCAACGCUUCUGGGACAGGUGUGCUCAAAAAAGCAGAGACGUGCUUCUCCUUCUGGUGUGUGGGCCUUGGCCACGUGGGAGCAGUAUAAUACAGACAUACGGAUAUGCAUGGAGACAGGGUCACGGGCGUGCUGGAGCCUAUCCCAGCUAUCUUACCCACACAGAGAUCCCGAGAACCAGACCGAGAAGCACGUCACAGAAUUGUCAUUGCAGAGGUCCGCAGUUCACCAGCAUGUGGAGACAAUAUGAUGUGCUGCUGACAAGCUGGAGAUGGGAAGCUUGAUGGAGUCAUUUCAGGAGGGUUUCAUGUCCAUGUAAUUAGAUGCUCUCUCAUUCUAAUCACUAUUUCCAGCUCAGUCAUGCGCGUGAAACACACGCACGUGCUUUUGCUGCCUAAUGAAAGGCUGCGGAUUAAUGAGUGCACACCUCUAGUGCUAAGCACAAUACGCUCAACACAUUAAUGACACCUCACUGGCAGUGAGCCGAGCGGCGUGCCUGGCGUGACAGGCGUGACUGUGGAAAUGUCACCCAGAUGGAGACGUGUGCCGACGUGCCAGGAUGC